GGUUAAGCGACUAAGCGUACACGGUGGAUGCCCUGGCAGUCAGAGGCGAUGAAGGACGUGCUAAUCUGCGAAAAGCGUCGGUAAGGUGAUAUGAACCGUUACAGCCGGCGAUGUCCGAAUGGGGAAACCCAGUGCAAUUCGUUGCACUAUCGUUAACUGAAUACAUAGGUUAACGAGGCGAACCGGGGGAACUGAAACAUCUAAGUACCCCGAGGAAAAGAAAUCAACCGAGAUUCCCCCAGUAGCGGCGAGCGAACGGGGAGCAGCCCAGAGUCUGAAUCAGCUUGUGUGUUAGUGGAACGGUCUGGAAAGUCCGACGGUACAGGGUGAUAGUCCCGUACACCAAAAUGCACAGGCUGUGAACUCGAAGAGUAGGGCGGGACACGUGGUAUCCUGUCUGAAUAUGGGGGGACCAUCCUCCAAGGCUAAAUACUCCUGACUGACCGAUAGUGAACCAGUACCGUGAGGGAAAGGCGAAAAGAACCCCGGCGAGGGGAGUGAAAAAGAACCUGAAACCGUGUACGUACAAGCAGUGGGAGCACCUUCGGGUGUGACUGCGUACCUUUUGUAUAAUGGGUCAGCGACUUAUAUUCUGUAGCAAGGUUAACCGUAUAGGGGAGCCGCAGGGAAACCGAGUCUUAACUGGGCGUUAAGUUGCAGGGUAUAGACCCGAAACCCGGUGAUCUAGCCAUGGGCAGGUUGAAGGUUGGGUAACACUAACUGGAGGACCGAACCGACUAAUGUUGAAAAAUUAGCGGAUGACUUGUGGCUGGGGGUGAAAGGCCAAUCAAACCGGGAGAUAGCUGGUUCUCCCCGAAAGCUAUUUAGGUAGCGCCUCGUGAAUUCAUCUUCGGGGGUAGAGCACUGUUUCGGCUAGGGGGUCAUCCCGACUUACCAACCCGAUGCAAACUACGAAUACCGAAGAAUGUUAUCACGGGAGACACACGGCGGGUGCUAACGUCCGUCGUGAAGAGGGAAACAACCCAGACCGCCAGCUAAGGUCCCAAAGUCAUGGUUAAGUGGGAAACGAUGUGGGAAGGCACAGACAGCCAGGAUGUUGGCUUAGAAGCAGCCAUCAUUUAAAGAAAGCGUAAUAGCUCACUGGUCGAGUCGGCCUGCGCGGAAGAUGUAACGGGGCUAAACCAUGCACCGAAGCUGCGGCAGCGACACUAUGUGUUGUUGGGUAGGGGAGCGUUCUGUAAGCCUGCGAAGGUGACCUGUGAGGGUUGCUGGAGGUAUCAGAAGUGCGAAUGCUGACAUAAGUAACGAUAAAGCGGGUGAAAAGCCCGCUCGCCGGAAGACCAAGGGUUCCUGUCCAACGUUAAUCGGGGCAGGGUGAGUCGACCCCUAAGGCGAGGCCGAAAGGCGUAGUCGAUGGGAAACAGGUUAAUAUUCCUGUACUUGGUGUUACUGCGAAGGGGGGACGGAGAAGGCUAUGUUAGCCGGGCGACGGUUGUCCCGGUUUAAGCAUGUAGGCUGGUUAUCCAGGCAAAUCCGGAUAAUCAAGGCUGAGGUGUGAUGACGAGGCACUACGGUGCUGAAGUAACAAAUGCCCUGCUUCCAGGAAAAGCCUCUAAGCAUCAGGUAACAUCAAAUCGUACCCCAAACCGACACAGGUGGUCAGGUAGAGAAUACCAAGGCGCUUGAGAGAACUCGGGUGAAGGAACUAGGCAAAAUGGUGCCGUAACUUCGGGAGAAGGCACGCUGGUGUGUAGGUGAAGUCCCUGCGGAUGGAGCUGAGACCAGUCGAAGAUACCAGCUGGCUGCAACUGUUUAUUAAAAACACAGCACUGUGCAAACACGAAAGUGGACGUAUACGGUGUGACGCCUGCCCGGUGCCGGAAGGUUAAUUGAUGGGGUUAUCCGUAAGGAGAAGCUCUUGAUCGAAGCCCCGGUAAACGGCGGCCGUAACUAUAACGGUCCUAAGGUAGCGAAAUUCCUUGUCGGGUAAGUUCCGACCUGCACGAAUGGCGUAAUGAUGGCCAGGCUGUCUCCACCCGAGACUCAGUGAAAUUGAACUCGCUGUGAAGAUGCAGUGUACCCGCGGCAAGACGGAAAGACCCCGUGAACCUUUACUAUAGCUUGACACUGAACAUUGAGCCUUGAUGUGUAGGAUAGGUGGGAGGCUUUGAAGCGUGGACGCCAGUCUGCGUGGAGCCAACCUUGAAAUACCACCCUUUAAUGUUUGAUGUUCUAACGUUGGCCCCUGACCGGGGUUGCGGACAGUGUCUGGUGGGUAGUUUGACUGGGGCGGUCUCCUCCCAAAGCGUAACGGAGGAGCACGAAGGUUAGCUAAUCCUGGUCGGACAUCAGGAGGUUAGUGCAAUGGCAUAAGCUAGCUUGACUGCGAGCGUGACGGCGCGAGCAGGUGCGAAAGCAGGUCAUAGUGAUCCGGUGGUUCUGAAUGGAAGGGCCAUCGCUCAACGGAUAAAAGGUACUCCGGGGAUAACAGGCUGAUACCGCCCAAGAGUUCAUAUCGACGGCGGUGUUUGGCACCUCGAUGUCGGCUCAUCACAUCCUGGGGCUGAAGUAGGUCCCAAGGGUAUGGCUGUUCGCCAUUUAAAGUGGUACGCGAGCUGGGUUUAGAACGUCGUGAGACAGUUCGGUCCCUAUCUGCCGUGGGCGCUGGAGAAUUGAGGGGGGCUGCUCCUAGUACGAGAGGACCGGAGUGGACGCAUCACUGGUGUUCGGGUUGUCAUGCCAAUGGCACUGCCCGGUAGCUAAAUGCGGAAGAGAUAAGUGCUGAAAGCAUCUAAGCACGAAACUUGCCCCGAGAUGAGUUCUCCCUGAGACUUUAAGUCUCCUGAAGGAACGUU
rnacentral:rRNA from 1 species